UUACAGCCAUAUCACAUUGAAACACUGGUUCCCAUAUGAUCAACAAAGUUAAGCAAUGUCAAGCCUGAUCAGUACCUAGAUGGGGGACCAUUUGGGAAUAUCUGGUGCUGUAAG